rnacentral:tRNA from 1 species
GCCCAAGUGGCGGAAUGGUAGACGCAGGGGAUUCAAAAUCCCCCGGUAGCAAUAUCGUGCGAGUUCGAGUCUCGCCUUGGGCA